rnacentral:rRNA from 1 species
UAAGGAAUAUUGGUCAAUGGACGCAAGUCUGAACCAGCCAUGCCGCGUGAAGGAUGAAGGUCCUCUGGAUUGUAAACUUCUUUUAUCUGGGACGAAAACGGGAUUUUUAUCUCAAUUGACGGUACCAGAGGAAUAAGCACCGGCUAACUCCGUGCCAGCAGCCGCGGUAAUACGGAGGGUGCGAGCGUUAUCCGGAUUUACUGGGUUUAAAGGGUGCGUAGGUGGGCUUAUAAGUCAGUGGUGAAAUCUCCGAGCUUAACUUGGAAACUGCCGCUGGUACUAUAGGUCUUGAAUUAUCUGGAGGUAAGCUGAAUACGUCAUGUCGCGGUGAAAUGCUUAGAUAUGACAUAGAACACCAAUUGCGAAGGCAGCUUACUACAUAUAAAUUGACGCUGAGGCACGAAAGCGUGGGGAUCAAACA